GCGCCCGUAGCUCAACUGGACAGAGCGUCGGACUACGGAUUCGAAGGCUGGGGGUUCGACUCCCUCCGGGCGCG
rnacentral:tRNA from 1 species